CAUCCCUCAGGGGGUCAUCAUCAUCUAGAACAGAGACCACAUCAAAGCAUCCCUCAGGUGGUCAUUAAUCAUCAUCAUCUAGAACAGAGACAGCAUCAAAGCAUCCCUCAGGUGGUCAUUAAUCAUCAUCAUCUAGAACAGAGACAGCAUCAAAGCAUCCCUCAGGUGGUCAUUAAUCAUCAUCAUCUAGAACAGAGACAGCAUCAAAGCAUCCCUCAGGUGGUCAUUAAUCAUCAUCAUC